rnacentral:misc_RNA from 1 species
AAUGCACAUUGCGCCCCUUGGUAUUCCGAGGGGCAUGCCUGUUCGAGCGUCAUUACAACCCUCAAGCAUUGCUUGGUAUUGGGCUCCGCUGCUCACCCAGCGGGCCUUAAAAUCAGUGGCGGUGCCGUCGAGGCCCUGAGCGUAGUAAAUAUCCUCGCUAUAGGGACUCGGUGGACGCUGGCCAUCAACCCCCAACUUUCUAAGUUUGACCUCAGAUCAGGUAGGGAUACCCGCUGAACUUAA